CUUUGCCUUCUAGAUGCCUUGCUCAUAUUGGAGUUCAAGAUUUUGAGGAUCGCCUAGUCUGCCUGAUUGUUCUAGUAUCACCAGACUGGAGAAACCAACCCAUUAGAACUUAAAACAUACUUGGUUCAUUUGUACACAAGCCCAGGAGGACACCAGCCCCAUG